AUCUUAGGCAUUCCUAAGCCUUAAUUAAGCCAUAGUAAUGAGGUUAUGGAUUAGAAACACACUAAGUAAAGAAUGUACUAAGUUAUGAGAUUCAAGAGUGUGUUUUGAGCAAUGUGUUAAGGAAGAACAAGAAUCAAUGUAAGGAAAGCUAAGCUUAAUGGCCACUUGAAUAUGUAAUUGUGUUAUGUAUUUUGUGAUUGUAGGUCAAGACUCGAGGAUUGAUUGACCAUUUACGGGAACCACUAACAGGACUGUCUUGAAUUAUUGAACAAUCUCAUUCGUAGCAAUACGUCUAAUCAGGUCUUGCUAAGGGAGACUAUAGGCGUUGACCCUUUGAUAUCAAUUGUGAAGCUUAGAGGAAGCAGUUACAGUUUCAACCAACAGAAGUAGACGAUAAACCUUCUCAGUGCUUCAGAGACCAUCG